AACUAAUUAUGCUAAAUUUCAGCAUUGUAGCACACACUGUAUAUCAAUGUGCUUAUCAACAUCCCUGGAUUCCUGCUGAGCCAACUGCAACAAUGUGUUUGUUGUAUUAUUUCAUUGAUUGUUGCUAACCUUCUAAAGUGGGCAAUGUGUGUUGAAAAUUACUUGCUUAGAUAAAUUACUUGCUACUUGAUAAAUUAAAGGAGAAAUAUGGACGAUUCUUACAUGGAUCUUGAUCGCUAGAUCGUGGAAAAAAAAAACUUACCAAAAUUGAUGCUGCCGAACUGUAAUAGCUGCAGCUAAUGGCCAGCACCAUUGGAACCAUGGGCCAGUACCAGUUAGCUGCAAUGCUAGGUCUGGGGGCAUCAUCUAAACAUGCCUUUUUGCUUCUUAACAGACUUGAAAUGUAAUUAAAACUUCUGUGCAACAUGAAUAGGGCCCUUACGUGACAAAACAGUGUGUUUCCAGCACAUUAACUGUGGAGUCUGUUAAGAGGCAAAAAGGCACGUUUAGAUGAUGACCCCAGUCCUAGCAUUGUAGCUUAUUGGGAGCACUGGCCAUUAGCUACAGCUUCUCAAGUUCAGUAUCACGAAUUUUGGUCGUGUAUUUCCUAUCAACAGUACUUGGCGACAUCUAGCGAUCAAGAUCCUUUAAAUCACUUGCUAAUUGUAUUUGAGUGAUGGCAAUUUCAUGCAUAUACUGAGUAAUAUAAUUCUAAUUUAGAAACUGAUCAAAGUGAUGGUAGCCUUGGUGCAAUACAGGCACGGAUAGAGGAGCUGGCUGUCCUCGUCAAAGUACGCAGCCUAAACCUUUACAAGCAAACAGAUAGCAACAAGAGGAGACAUAAGAUACGAAGAGUCAUUUUAAAUUACAAAAACCCCCUGACAUAAAAAAAACACGGCAUUGGCAAAGUGAAACCUCUCUUGUUGACUUCUCUUGUUGAGGAUGCACAAAAAGGACUGCAGUGUCUGGUUCAUCAGAGGCUCAGCAAACUGAAAGCAGAAAUGCUUUUAGUCAACAGCCAUUACAAAACUAUCCUGAAUGAUAACUCACACCUGGAGAUGGAGUUGGAAGAAGAAGACAUAGAACUUGAUGCUAUAGCCUCUGAUUUCAGCUGUUCUGAUGAGGACUCUGACUGAAUGUCAUCUGCCAUCAAACAUGCUUCAAUUACUGUGUUACUGUGUUGUUGUGGUUGUUGAUGUGUUGAUGGAUGUGGUUGCUGUAGUUGAGAAUGUUGUUGUAUUAUGGUGCUUGUGCCCUUGGGUUGUAGAAACUUUACCUGUGGUUUUGUUGUGUCCAAUGUGAUAGGGUUUAUAUGGUUUUGGAUCGAGGUGUCAUAGAAAAUCAAUAAUCAAUGUGUGUUAAUCUGUUAAAUAAUCGAGAUGUCAAACCUCAAACAAAGCGAAUUCCUCAUCUGUCCAUAAAAGAUUGUGUCCAUAAUAAAGACAGUCAGAUGUUGUGUGUACGUUGUGUAUUUACAAGUUGCAUGAUAUGGGUGUCAGACAGCUUUAUAUGUUUCCCGUCUUAUCUUAGGUGUGUUUAUUUUUUUUAUUAUUAUUCUUUGCCCCCCACCUCCCACAUACAGGUAUGUCCACACACGCACACUCACACACACACACACCAUUACACCAUAACCCUCUCUCUCAAACACACACACACAGACACACACACCAUAACGCCAUAACCACCAAAAACACACAAACCAUACC